rfam:Ictidomys tridecemlineatus contig023498, whole genome shotgun sequence.
GAGAGUGUAGCUCGGUGGUAGAGCGCUUGCUCUGCAUGCACAAAUCCCUGGGUUUGGUUCCCUGCAUUUCCA